ACGUCUACGAGUUUGAUCAUGGCUCAGGAUGAACGCUAGCGGGAGGCCUAAUACAUGCAAGUCGAACGGUAAGGCUCUUUCGGGGAGUACACGAGUGGCGGACGGGUGCGUAACGCGUACGGAAUAUACCUUUAACAGGGGGAUACCUUCGGGAAACUGGAAAUAAUACCCCAUAACAUUAUUGAGUCACAUGGUUUAAUAAUCAAAACUUAGGUGGUUAAAGAUUAUCGUGCGUCUGAUUAGCUAGUUGGUGAGGUAGAGGCUCACCAAGGCGAUGAUCAGUAGCUGGUCUGAGAGGAUGAUCAGCCACACUGGGACUGAGACACGGCCCAGACUCCUACGGGAGGCAGCAGUAGGGAAUAUUGGACAAUGGGCGGAAGCCUGAUCCAGCCAUCCCGCGUGCAGGAAUAAGGCCCUAUGGGUUGUAAACUGCUUUUAAUAGGGAAGAAAAGCUCCAUUUAUGGGGUGUUGACGGUACCUAAAGAAUAAGCACCGGCUAACUCCGUG
rnacentral:rRNA from 1 species